UCCCACCACCUACCUCAGCCUGUAGGCAAUUCUCAAAGAGUCCAUCUGAAACCUAUUUGAAACUUGCAUUUCUCUGUGUACCUGCCUACAUCUGCCUCUGGAAAUAAUGUUCUCUCCUUCUCUUCCCUCUUCCUCAUGUGAGUGCCUCUCAUUGGAUGAUGUUUCCUGGAGCCAUACAGAGGAGAUUCUGGGAAAUGCAGCUACAAGCUUCUCUUCUACAAAGCAGGAAGAUAUCAGAAGGUGACGUCAGUG